CACCCCCUAGUGAUUGACAUGUGUAGGGGACAGACAGUUAGCAUAGAGGGGUCAUGCAGAUAGGACAUUGAUCCUGCUUGGUAGUAUAUCUGGUAUAAACUAACAUCAACCUGUUUGAAUCUAGGAAAACCAGUUUAAACUAACACAAACUGGUUUGGGGCUAAUUUUAUCUGAUUUAGGAGAUUUUUAUCUGGUUUCAGCAAGCAUGCUCACAAUACUGUCAUCAAUAUUCCACAGGUAUCCCAGCAUGCUCACAAUACAGUCAUCAAUAUCCCACAGGUAUCCCAGCAUGCUCACAAUACAGUCAUCAAUAUCCCACAGGUAUCCCAGCAUGCUCACAAUACUGUCAUCAAUAUCCCACAGGUAUCCCAGCAUGCUCACAAUACUGUCAUCAAUAUCCCACAGGUAUCCCAGCAUGCUGACAAUACUGUCAUCAAUAUCCCACAGGUAUCCCAGCAUGCUCACAAUACUGUCAUUAUAACCCACAGGUAUCCCAAGCUGAGCACUAAUGCCAAUUGAUUGAUUUAGUGAAGGAGAGUCCAACUCUGUCUGCUGGUUUUAUUAUCUUCUCUCAACUUGUGUUCAGUUAAGACCUGGACAACCAGGUCAGGGCAGUUCAAUAAGACCUGGACAACCAGGUCAGGGCAGUUCAAUAAGACCUGGACAACCAGGUCAGGGCAGUUCAAUAAGACCUGGACAACCAGGUCAGGGCAGUUCAAUAAGACCUGGACAACCAGGUCAGGGCAGUUCAAUAAGACCUGGACAAACAGGUCAGGGCAGUUCAAAUAGACCUGGACAACCAGGUCAGGGCAGUUCAUUAAGACCUGGACAACCAGGUCAGGGCAGUUCAAUAAGACCUGGACAACCAGGUCAGGGCAGUUCAAUAAGAUCUGGACAACCAGGUCAGGUCAGUUCAAUAAGAUCUGGACAACCAGGUCAGGGCAGUUCAAUAAGACCUGGACAACCAGGUCAGGGAAGUUCAAUAAGAUCUGGACAACCAGGUCAGGGCAGUUCAAUAAGACCUGGACAACCAGGUCAGGGCAGUUCAAUAAGAUCUGGACAACCAGGUCAGGGCAGUUCAAUAAGACCUGGACAACCAGGUCAGGGCAGUUCAAUAAGACCUGGACAACCAGGUCAGGGCAGUUCAAUAAGACCUGGACAACCAGGUCAGGGCAGUUCAAUAAGACCUGGACAACCAGGUCAGGGCAGUUCAAUAAGACCUGGACAACCAGGUCAGGGCAGUUCAAUAAGACCUGGACAA